ACGAGCGGCGGACGGGUGAGUAAUGCUUGGGAACAUGCCUUGAGGUGGGGGACAACCAUUGGAAACGAUGGCUAAUACCGCAUAAUGUCUACGGACCAAAGGGGGCUUCGGCUCUCGCCUUUAGAUUGGCCCAAGUGGGAUUAGCUAGUUGGUGAGGUAAGGGCUCACCAAGGCGACGAUCCCUAGCUGGUUUGAGAGGAUGAUCAGCCACACUGGAACUGAGACACGGUCCAGACUCCUACGGGAGGCAGCAGUGGGGAAUAUUGCACAAUGGGCGCAACCUGAUGCAGCCAUGCCGCGUGUGUGAAGAAGGCCUUAGGGUUGUAAAGCACUUUCAGUCAGGAGGAAAGGUUAGUAGUUAAUACCUGCUAGCUGUGACGUUACUGACAGAAGAAGCACCGGCUAACUCCGUGCCAGCAGCCGCGGUAAUACGGAGGGUGCGAGCGUUAAUCGGAAUUACU
rnacentral:rRNA from 1 species